rnacentral:rRNA from 1 species
CGUAGGUGGUAGUGCAAGUCUGGGGUGGAAUCCCAGGGCUUAACCCUGGAACUGCCUUGGAAACUGUAUUACUUGAGUCAGUGAGGGGAGGGUAGAAUUCCUGGUGUAGCGGUGAAAUGCGUAGAUAUCAGGAGGAAGGCCUGUGGCGAAGGCGGCCCUCUGGCGCUGAACUGACACUGAGGCGCGAAAGCGUGGGGAGCAAACAGGAUUAGAUACCCUGGUAGUCCACGCCCUAAACGGUGGGUACUAGGUGUAGGGCUCGUAAGGGUUCUGUGCCGAAGCGAAAGCAUUAAGUACCCCGCCUGGGGAGUACGGCCGCAAGGUUGAA